UUGCUCAUUCUGGCAGCACACACACUAAAAUUGGAAAGAUACAGAGAAGAGUUGCAUAGCCCCUGCACAAGGAUGACACGCAAAAAUAAAAAAUUAUUUUAAAAAAUU
ensembl:snRNA U6 U6 spliceosomal RNA